ACAGGUCAAAAUGAACUGUUUAUUGAAAAUUCAUAUAUUUUUAUUACUCUUAAUCAUUUGUCUGUAAGUAAUAGAUGCCUUCACAGGAAGUGCACAGGAAGUAAUAUAAAGUAGAAAUGUUUAUCAAUCUUCAUGCUUUUUAAAGACGUAUGAUUCACUCUUUCUGGGUAAGAGUGAUGCUGAAUGGUCUUUGGGUCAAAACAUCACAUUCCAGAGCUAUGAGCUUGUAUGACGUAGAUCAUUAUGGUCAAGGCUUAGCAUCUGUGAAUGGAGAGUGAUGACUGCAUAAAAGGGAGAGAGGAGCUUGCUCCAAUUCACUCCUGCACUGCACCCCAUUCAUGAGGCAGGCAGAGAGGCUUCUUCAUUUUCGGGUCAGAAUUAUAGGUAAGAUAUUAUUUUGUCAAUUCUGUUAGUUUUGAUCAAUUUGUUUAUAAAGUUGGUUAACAAUGUAUUUUCUAUUGUUCGGAAUAAGAGGUUAGGUUAUAUUAAAGUGCUAUCUAUGCUAGCAUAGCAUACAUGUCUUAUUCUAAGGGGUUUUGUGAAUUGAAUAAUUAAUUAGAUAUGCAUCUGUCUUUGUUACUUCAGAUGAUUUUUGUGAUAUUUUAUAUUAAUUAAUUGUACUUGUAUACUUGAUUGUAGUAUGUAGUUAUAAACACGAAAUGUGUUCGGUUCUAAUCGUAAAGUAAAACGAUUUAGUAAAAUGAUCUUUAGAGUUGAAGAUUUUGGUUAUUGAAUUGUUAAUUCAAUGUUUCAGUUUUGUGUUUUCAGAGUAAAGGGUCACAACGAUUGCUUACUAUGUGUAAUAAUUGUUACUUUCAUUUUAAAGGUAUUUGACAUGACAUUCGUGUAGCGGGUGAGGCUAUCACGAGAGGAAAUAAUAUGGUCCUCUAGGCCAGAUUGCCAAGGUUUUUUUUUUAAUUUCUUUAUCUUGGAAAUUGUGGAAUUUUGUAUAUAACGACUCAUCGAUAUUAAACGAACCGAAACACAAGGAAUGGUGUCAUGUGUCAUCUUUCUGCAUCAGUUUCCUCGUGUUACAAGUGGCGUUGUCAGCAGGAUCGAUGUUCGUCGUUGGAUACAACCAAGUUCAAACCCUGACAAUCUCAGGAGCUCAUCCGUCUGUUUGGACAUCUUGUAUGUGUAAAUAUGAACGUAGCGUUAAGUUUAGGAUGUAUUUGUGUGUGUGCGAAGUGUGAAUGUUGUAGCCAAAAUGUAGUUUGGUUUAAAAUAAUGUGGGGCUACAAGUGUAUUUGAUAGGGAUUAGUAGUGGAAAGGUAUUUUAUGAGAUACCCUUAAGAGUUUUCAGAUGAAAUGGCUUUGGUCAAGGGAAUACGGAGUACUGUUCAAGGUUCAUUUUGUGUUGUCAUGGUAAUGCUGUGGUUUGGAACAGUCCAUGCCCCCUUAUGUAAUUUUGGCUGGUUGGAUGGGAACCACACAUUGGGGUGUAGGAAGCCAGAGACACCAGUAUUUUAUAUGUUGAUAGGAGGGAGUACAGUAUGUGCAGAGAAGCUCUGGGUUUGGCAAACAUGAUUAACUAUGAAUAGUUGAGGCGUUUCUUUGUCUGAUACUUGAAAUUUGUUAACUUUUUAAUUUUUGUUUUGGGUCUUGAUUAAUAUUCGGUUUAAUUAAGCUAUGGCGUGAAUUAAUGGUAAUUGCUUGAUCCAGAAUGUGUAUUUGAUAGUUUUAUAGGGCUACUUUGGAAAAAGUAGGGGAGCCCACAUGUUGAUGAAAGUGUUUUACUUUCAUGUGUCUGUGUGUUAUAAUGGUUAUCAUAUUGUAAUAUGCUGAUCUUUCUGAUUUGUAACUGGGAUUUGGCUAGGAGUACUGCUAGGUUUAGUCAGGAUAAAGUAUCAAUGUUAAUUUCGAGAACCUCAAUCUGAGACCGGGAUUGCAUUAGAAAUUUAGAGGGAUACUGGAGUGACUAUUGGGGCAGUAAGGUUUUUCUCUUUACCUUUGUUUUUCUGUUAACCUUCGAGGCCGGAAAGGACGCAGUGGUAGUUGAGAGAAUUAGUCAUAAGUUAUGAGAUUUUUCAGUGUGUUAUAUUGGUAUACCAUUGUUCCAUUUGAAAUUGCUAAGAUUUGGGGAAACAUCUAGUAAUUGUUAUUUGUUUUAUUGUCUUGUAAUUCUUUAACAGUUUGAAUCGGCUCAAAGUAUAAGUAGGUAUAUUUUUGGAGGUUUAAGGAUGACAUUGUAGUGAUUGAUUUUACUGGCUAUAAUUAUAUAAUGGUCUGUUAUUCGUUGAGAUACAUGGAUUGUGAAGGUUUAUGUCGAUAACUAAACAAUUGGUUGGUAUAAACUCUGGAGCUGUUAGGAUCAGUUAGGAAGCACUUGGAAUGUUCAAUGCUAGGAACCUCAACAUGAGACUAGUAUUACAUAAUAUGGAGUGUACUUGAAAACUGAAACAGUUGAGUUUUUGCACUAGAUAUGUUUUCUGUGUUUAUUCUCGUCACGAGACCAGGAAGUUCGUAUUAGUGGUGCGGGUUCGCCAAUACCGUGUUAUUGCCGAGAUUUUUAUAUUCUGUAUCGGGUGAUAACUGGCUUUAUAUAUUUAGUGCCAUGAUUAAUUGUAAAUUGAUUUGUUCUGUAACUGGGAACAAGCAUCUCCAGGUAGUGUUAUUUUAAGUAGGACUUUAAUUUUUGUAAUAAUUUUGGUAUAGUGAGUGCCGGGACGUCACUCAAUUAAGUAGGGGAGUAUGUAACAGGUCAAAAUGAACUGUUUAUUGAAAAUUCAUAUAUUUUUAUUACUCUUAAUCAUUUGUCUGUAAGUAAUAGAUGCCUUCACAGGAAGUGCACAGGAAGUAAUAUAAAGUAGAAAUGUUUAUCAAUCUUCAUGCUUUUUAAAGACGUAUGAUUCACUCUUUCUGGGUAAGAGUGAUGCUGAAUGGUCUUUGGGUCAAAACAUCACAUUCCAGAGCUAUGAGCUUGUAUGACGUAGAUCAUUAUGGUCAAGGCUUAGCAUCUGUGAAUGGAGAGUGAUGACUGCAUAAAAGGGAGAGAGGAGCUUGCUCCAAUUCACUCCUGCACUGCACCCCAUUCAUGAGGCAGGCAGAGAGGCUUCUUCAUUUUCGGGUCAGAAUUAUAGGUAAGAUAUUAUUUUGUCAAUUCUGUUAGUUUUGAUCAAUUUGUUUAUAAAGUUGGUUAACAAUGUAUUUUCUAUUGUUCGGAAUAAGAGGUUAGGUUAUAUUAAAGUGCUAUCUAUGCUAGCAUAGCAUACAUGUCUUAUUCUAAGGGGUUUUGUGAAUUGAAUAAUUAAUUAGAUAUGCAUCUGUCUUUGUUACUUCAGAUGAUUUUUGUGAUAUUUUAUAUUAAUUAAUUGUACUUGUAUACUUGAUUGUAGUAUGUAGUUAUAAACACGAAAUGUGUUCGGUUCUAAUCGUAAAGUAAAACGAUUUAGUAAAAUGAUCUUUAGAGUUGAAGAUUUUGGUUAUUGAAUUGUUAAUUCAAUGUUUCAGUUUUGUGUUUUCAGAGUAAAGGGUCACAACGAUUGCUUACUAUGUGUAAUAAUUGUUACUUUCAUUUUAAAGGUAUUUGACAUGACAUUCGUGUAGCGGGUGAGGCUAUCACGAGAGGAAAUAAUAUGGUCCUCUAGGCCAGAUUGCCAAGGUUUUUUUUUAAAUUUCUUUAUCUUGGAAAUUGUGGAAUUUUGUAUAUAACGACUCAUCGAUAUUAAACGAACCGAAACACAAGGAAUGGUGUCAUGUGUCAUCUUUCUGCAUCAGUUUCCUCGUGUUACAAUUAUAUAAUCAUACUUUUUUACAAUUUGGGGUACAGUGAAUACUUUAAUUUUACCCGGAAAAUCGCAAUUUACUCCACAUCUUUUAAAUUCUGUGACAUAAAAAAGUCUUGUGUUGCAGAAUCUUACAGUACAGAACAUAGUUGAGAGCUUUUCUCAUAUGACCAACAAUGGUAAUCAAAUUCAGUUAGCAAACUUACAGUACUCUAUGGCAUGUAUGAAGAU